rnacentral:rRNA from 1 species
UACGUAGGGACCAAGCGUUGUCCGGAAUCACUGGGCUUAAAGCGCGUGUAGGCGGGCCGGCACGUCGGACGUUGAAAUCCCCCGGCUCAACCGGGGAAGGGGCGCCGAUACGACCGGCCUGGAGGAACGUAGGGGGAGCUGGAACUUCCGGUGGAGCGGUGAAAUGCGUUGAGAUCGGAAGGAACGCCCGUGGCGAAAGCGAGCUCCUGGACGUUUUCUGACGCUGAGACGCGAAAGCCAGGGGAGCGAACGGG